GUGCUCGCUUCAGCAACACAUACUAAAAUUAAACUAUAUAGAGAAGAUUAGCAUGGCCCCUGCACAAGAAUGACAUGCAGGCCCGGAGAGAUAGCGCAGCGGUGU